AAAUUGAAGAGUUUGAUCAUGGCUCAGAUUGAACGCUGGCGGCAGGCCUAACACAUGCAAGUCGAACGGUAGCACAGAGAGCUUGCUCUCGGGUGACGAGUGGCGGACGGGUGAGUAAUGUCUGGGAAACUGCCUGAUGGAGGGGGAUAACUACUGGAAACGGUGGCUAAUACCGCAUAACGUCGCAAGACCAAAGAGGGGGACCUUCGGGCCUCUUGCCAUCAGAUGUGCCCAGAUGGGAUUAGCUAGUUGGUGAGGUAAC
rnacentral:rRNA from 1 species